CCUACGGGGGGCAGCAGUGGGGAAUAUUGCACAAUGGGCGCAAGCUUGAUGCAGCCAUGCCGCGUGUGUGAAGAAGGCCUUCGGGUUGUAAAGCACUUUCAGCGGGGAGGAAGGCGGUGAGGUUAAUAACCUCAUCGAUUGACGUUACCCGCAGAAGAAGCACGGGCUAACUCCGUGCCAGCAGCCGCGGUAAUACGGAGGGUGCAAGCGUUAAUCGGAAUUACUGGGCGUAAAGCGCACGCAGGCGGUCUGUCAAGUCGGAUGUGAAAUCCCCGGGCUCAACCUGGGAACUGCAUUCGAAACUGGCAGGCUAGAGUCUUGUAGAGGGGGGUAGAAUUCCAGGUGUAGCGGUGAAAUGCGUAGAGAUCUGGAGGAAUACCGGUGGCGAAGGCGGCCCCCUGGACAAAGACUGACGCUCAGGUGCGAAAGCGUGGGGAGCAAACAGGAUUAGAUACCCGUGUAGUC
rnacentral:rRNA from 1 species